CAACCUAGCAAUUAAUAUAAAGAGAGAAAAAGAUAAAUCAAAUGGAGGAAAGGAAAAAUUAAGAUAGAGAAAACUCGAAACUGAGGUUCACAAAAGGAAGUGAGUGAGUGAGAACAACCCGGAAAAAGUGAAAAAUGGCCGAGUUUCGUAUACAAUUUGCACUUAGACCUCUACACUCCACAACAAUUUUCUCGGUUCAAGAAAGACCUUUCUAGAAAUAUUCCUACACUAUAAGAGUCCUUAUUCUGUGAUGUUACAUGUCAUUAAAG
rnacentral:lncRNA from 1 species